rnacentral:rRNA from 1 species
UACGUAGGUGGCGAGCGUUACUCGGAAUUACUAGGCGUAAAGCGCAGGUAGGCGGUUUGGCAAGUCCGUGAUGAAAUCUCCCGGCUUAACUGGGAGGGGUUUAAGGAAACUGCCAGACUGGAGUGUGGGAGAGGUAACUGGAAUUCCUGGUGUAGCGGUGAAAUGCGUAGAGAUCAGGAGGAACACCUAUGGCGAAAGCAGGUUACUGGCCCAAUACUGACGCUGAGCUGCGAAAGCUAGGGGAGCAAACAGG